rnacentral:rRNA from 1 species
UCACGGGAGUAGCAAUACAACUGGUGGCGACCGGCGCACGGGUGAGUAACGCGUAUGCAACCUACCUAUCAGAGGGGAAUAACCCGGCGAAAGUCGGACUAAUACCGCAUAAAACAGGGGCACCGCAUGGUGAUAUUUGUUAAAGAAAUUCGCUGAUAGAUGGGCAUGCGUUCCAUUAGGUAGUUGGUGAGGUAACGGCUCACCAAGCCGACGAUGGAUAGGGGAACUGAGAGGUUGGUCCCCCACACUGGUACUGAGACACGGACCAGACUCCUACGGGAGGCAGCAGUGAGGAAUAUUGGUCAAUGGGCGGGAGCCUGAACCAGCCAAGUCGCCGUGAAGGAAGAAGGAUCUAUGGUUCGUAAACUUCUUUUGCAGGGGAAUAAAGUGCAGGACGUGUCCUGUUUUGUAUGUACCCUGAGAAUAAGGAUCGGCUAACUCCGUGCCAGCCGCGGC